GUCUGAAACGACUCUCGGCAACGGAUAUCUCGGCUCUCGCAUCGAUGAAGAACGUAGCGAAAUGCGAUACUUGGUGUGAAUUGCAGAAUCCNNUGAACC
rnacentral:rRNA from 2 species